UGCCGGUCCCCGACUCGGGCGAGCUUCUGACGUAGAUUGUGGUCAGGACCACCGACCAGAGUCUGGACGAGGCACCGGCCAGAUACUGCGUGGAUCCACGGAAAGGACGGCCGUGCGCGGAGUAGUAAGAUUCCUGAGCGGUCAGUAUGAAAACUCUGGGAAUAGCUGAGGGGUAAAUUUUGGAAACUGGAUCAAAUAAGGAAGCUAAAUGGUCAGCAGUGUUGGCCUAGAAACCCAGGCUCCAAAGCUGGUCUUCUGGAAAAAGCUGCUGAAAAGGACUGGCCCUUCUUCAAGUCCUUCUGUGCAUUGGAAGCACAGGUUAUUUGGACAGUUUGCUGCCAGCGCUUGAUCUGAAGGAGAAGAACAGGCUCAAAGGUGUGAUAACACCUGAAGGAUGUGAUCCCGCAUCUCCAAAUCAGUGUUAUGAUCUGGUAUUACCUCAAUGAAGA